rnacentral:tRNA from 1 species
GGUAGUUUAAUUAGAAGAUUCCGGUUUUGGGGACCGGAGAUGAAGGUUUGAAUCCUUCUCUUUUGA